rnacentral:rRNA from 1 species
GUGGGGAAUAUUGGACAAUGGGCGAAAGCCUGAUCCAGCAAUGCCGCGUGAGUGAUGAAGGCCUUAGGGUUGUAAAGCUCUUUUACCAGGGAUGAUAAUGACAGUACCUGGAGAAUAAGCUCCGGCUAACUCCGUGGCAGCAGCCGCGGUAAUACGGAGGGAGCUAGCGUUGUUCGGAAUUACUGGGCGUAAAGCGCACGUAGGCGGUUACUCAAGUCAGAGGUGAAAGCCCGGGGCUCAACCCCGGAACUGCCUUUGAAACUAGGUAACUGGAAUCUUGGAGAGGUCAGUGGAAUUCCGAGUGUAGAGGUGAAAUUCGUAGAUAUUCGGAAGAACACCAGUGGCGAAGGCGACUGACUGGACAAGUAUUGACGCUGAGGUGCGAAAGCGUGGGGAGCAAACAGGAUUAGAAACCCCAGUAGUCC